CCCUCGCUCAAACAAUCGCCAUCAAAGCCACAAACAGACAAUGAGGGAAUCAUCCUUUCAUUCGUCCAUUUCACAGAAAGCUUUGGGAGAAAGUCCCCGGACGUAGUUUUGUUUUCCAAACAAAACCAGUUGAAAAACACCGACAUAGAAGCAUUGAUUCCAUUCGGUUUAUCAUACAGCAUUAUAAAACAAUUACACCCGCUUUCUUCGGCUUCACAACCGUUAGUUACUACCACGUUCAAACACCGAUUAUUUGUCUCUCGCCCUUCGGGGUUGAUCGUAGACUGUUUUCUUUGUUGUGGAAGGAUUCGGGGGUGGUCGAAGUUUGUGGAAAUUGGGGAGUUCACGCUCUCUGGUGCUGGUUUUUAAUUUUCGUCAAAGAUUGGAUAGUUAUGCGAUUGUUUUGUACUUUCUUCGAAAGAAGGGUAUGAGGUGACUCGAUGGGGCUUAUUCUUGAGGCGAGG
rnacentral:RNase_MRP_RNA from 2 species